AGUGAACGCUGGCGGUAGGCCUAACACAUGCAAGUCGAACGGCAGCACAGUAAGAGCUUGCUCUUACGGGUGGCGAGUGGCGGACGGGUGAGGAAUACAUCGGAAUCUACUUUUUCGUGGGGGAUAACGUAGGGAAACUUACGCUAAUACCGCAUACGACCUACGGGUGAAAGCAGGGGAUCUUCGGACCUUGCGCGAUUGAAUGAGCCGAUGUCGGAUUAGCUAGUUGGCGGGGGAAAGGCCCACCAAGGCGACGAUCCGUAGCUGGUCUGAGAGGAUGAUCAGCCACACUGGAACUGAGACACGGUCCAGACUCCUACGGGAGGCAGCAGUGGGGAAUAUUGGACAAUGGGCGCAAGCCUGAUCCAGCCAGACCGCGUGGGUGAAGAAGGCCUUCGGGUUGUAAAGCCCUUUUGUUGGGAAAGAAAAGCAGCAGGUUAAUACCCCGCUGUUCUGACGGUACCCAAAGAAUAAGCACCGGCUAACUUCGUG
rnacentral:rRNA from 1 species